UACGGAGGGUGCGAGUGUUGUCCGGAAUCACUGGGCGUAAAGGGCGCGUAGGCGGCGCGGAUAGUCGGCGGUGAAAGCCCGGAGCUCAACUCCGGGUCGGCCGUCGAUACUUCCGGGCUUGAGCACUGUAGAGGCAGAUGGAAUUCCGGGUGUAGCGGUGGAAUGCGUAGAGAUCCGGAAGAACACCGGUGGCGAAGGCGGUCUGCUGGGCAGUUGCUGACGCUGAUGCGCGACAGCGUGGGGGAGCAAACGAGG
rnacentral:rRNA from 1 species